AUGCCCUAGCUCGGGCUACACGACGUAGCUACAAUGGUGGUACAAAGGGUUGCCAAGCCGUGAGGUGGAGCUAAAUCCCAUAAAACCGAUCGUAGUCCGGAUCGCAGUCUGCAACUCGACUGCGUGAAGUCGGAAUCGCUAGUAAUCGUGAAUCAGAAUGUCACGGUGAAUACGUUCCCGGGCCUU
rnacentral:rRNA from 1 species